UAUUGGUCAAUGGCCUAACGGCUGAACCAGCAACUUGGAGGAAUGAAUAGCGAAAGCCGGUAAAAAGGUAAUGUACCUAGUAGUAUUAGUAAUUAAUAUGAGAUUAACUAAGUUAGUUAAAAUUCGAUGUGGAUAUUUGAUAAUGACAGUAUCUGCUUAUGUCUUGACCAAGUCACGUGCCAGCAGUCGCGGUAAUACGUGGAAGAUUAGUGUUAUUCAUCUUUAGUAGGUUUAAAGGGUACCUAGACGGUUAACUAAGCAAUGUACUAAUUAACUAGAGUUUAAUGUAAGAUGGAUUGAGUACGGUGAGUGUAGAGAUAUAAUUCUGUGAUACCACGUCGGAACUGGUAAAGGCGAAGGCAACCUUCUAUGUAAAAACUGACGUUGAAGGACGAAGG
rnacentral:rRNA from 1 species